ensembl:lncRNA
UGUCUACAGACAGUGAAAUGGCCCUGCUCAUCUUCAUAAUCCUUCAGCUUUCACUGGAGGUUAAAUUGCAAGGUUUGGCCACCAUGUCAUCUUUGCCACCAAUUACAGAUGUCAGCCCAACUACAGUGACUCCCAUUGCAACCUUUCAAGAUAUGUCAAAUCUAAGUACCCAAGACAUAGUUGGCCAUAGUUUAACAGAUCCUGCAAACGCAUCCCUGGAAUUGACUACACUUACUGAUACUACAGAACGUGCUUCAGCGAUCCCCUUAAUGACUAAAGGCCCUGAAAUCAGAAAGUAUUUAAAUACAAAAAUGUUCUUCCUCAUUGCUGUGGUUGCAUCUGGUGGAGGAAUUGUACUGACUGCACUCGUGGGUAUCUGUUUGAACAGAUGUACAGGAAAGUCAAAGCCAGAGAGGAUUUGGAUCAAAUUCAGCGGCAAAAAACAGAAACAAGGACUUUCUUUACCAACGGCCUGUUCAGACUCAUUUGGAGAGGAAGAUACAGUGCUUUACUCAACCAUCAACUUCAAUCAAUCCCCCUCUCAACCACCAGGAAACAGUGACGAAUCAAUGCAAAAUGAGGUUGAAGUGAAUCAAUUGUAUUACACCGUCAUAACCGAACCGACCAUCUCCAGUGACAGCAGUAGUGUUUACAGUCAGCUGAAGGUCCAAUGAAAGAACACAACUCUGCCUGCUGCUGUUUAAUGCAGCCCUAUUGAUGCAUCUUACUUUUUAACGGCCUUUAAUCCUCCAUAACAAAUGCCUUUUAUUGUAAAUGUUAAACAUCUGCUUUCUAAUUUCAAAACUGUUUCAUAAACUUCUCUCUGAUUUCAGUUUACUUGUAUUUUCUGUAGAUUUACAUGAACAGAAUAACCACAUCAGAAGGCACACAGCAUGAAUAUGCAUACUUUUUAAUUACAUAACAAUUGUUAUAUCAUGUUAUUGUGAAUGGCAGUUGUAUAGACAAACACAAGGUCAUAUUUUGUCCUGUGGCUUGUGUGAAUAUUUUCACCUGAUGUUUAUUAUAUAAAGUACCUAAUUUUUAUGUUUCUGUUCUUGUUCCUUUUGUACUUUUCCCUUAUUCCUCAAAGUUACACGUAAAAUCUACAUCAUCUACAAGUAAUAGCUGCUGGAAAUCCCACUUUGCCAUCACAGGAAUAAAAUAUAUUUAUACAGAAAGCUGUUAUUUUGAAUUGGUAUAAUAUACUCACAGUGUUACUGUUGUUUUUUUUUUUUUUUUUUUUUUUUUUUUUACUGUAUUUGUGAUCAAAUAAAUGCAGCCUUAGUGAGCAAGAGAGACUUACAGCAAUCGUUUGAAUGGUGUACAUUAAAAAUUUAUUUUUAUUUUUUUAUGACAACCUUCAGCAAUUCAGGUCUCCAAUGACUGCCAUACAUGUAUCUGAUUACUGUGGAUAUGAGUCAGAUGACAGCGAACUCUGAUGUCCAAAUCAUGCAUUUACAGUCAUAUAUGCGACGAGUAAUUAUGGGUAAUAGCCCAUAAUGGGUCCUUUAAAAUUAAAAUCAAUUAAAAGCUUUACAGAUAUUUGAAAAAAGUAUUAUGGGCUCACAAAAAUUAAUGGCUACAUUUUUCCUUUUUAGUGUUCUAUUGUGGUGUUGUAAUUUUUAUUUUAUUAAAAAAUGCUCAACACUUUUAAAUAACGGUUUUCAAGUUUUUAAAUAAAUGACUGAAAACAUAUAGUUUAAAUCAGUUCCAUCUCUGCACAACCACAAUGGUGUCCUGUGGCUUUAAAAGAGAUCAACACUUCAGACAAGCAAUAUAUUGUGUGCUUUAUAUAUUUCAUUUUAUAGAGACAAACCUUGGCAUUUGUUUUUCAUGUUUUCUUUCAUUACUUCCUACUUCCUCAUGUAUGGUCUGAUGUGGUGUGUGUCUGUAUGUCAGUUCAUCACUCUUUCGUGUCACACUGUUGCUGCUCAUCUUCAUCAUCUUUACACUAUUUCUAGAGGUUCAGCCUCAAAGUAAGUGGCAACUUAUAUUUUUGAAAAUA